AUUGAACGCUGGCGGCAGGCCUAACACAUGCAAGUCGAGCGGAUGAGGGGAGCUUGCUCCCUGCUUUAGCGGCGGACGGGUGAGUAAUGCCUAGGAAUCUGCCUGGUAGUGGGGGAUAACGUUCCGAAAGGAACGCUAAUACCGCAUACGUCCUACGGGAGAAAGCAGGGGACCUUCGGGCCUUGCGCUAUCAGAUGAGCCUAGGUCGGAUUAGCUAGUUGGUGAGGUAAUGGCUCACCAAGGCGACGAUCCGUAACUGGUCUGAGAGGAUGAUCAGUCACACUGGAACUGAGACACGGUCCAGACUCCUACGGGAGGCAGCAGUGGGGAAUAUUGGACAAUGGGCGAAAGCCUGAUCCAGCCAUGCCGCGUGUGUGAAGAAGGUCUUCGGAUUGUAAAGCACUUUAAGUUGGGAGGAAGGGCUGCUGGUUAAUACCCUGCAGUUUUGACGUUACCAACAGAAUAAGCACCGGCUAACUUCGUG
rnacentral:rRNA from 1 species